rnacentral:rRNA from 1 species
UGGGGAAUAUUGCACAAUGGAGGGAACUCUGAUGCAGCGACGCCGCGUGAACGAAGAAGGCUUUCGAGUCGUAAAGUUCUUUUAUAUGGGAAGAUAAUGACGGUACCAUAAGAAAAAGCCCCGGCUAACUACGUGCCAGCAGCCGCGGUAAUACGGAAGGUUCGGGCGUUAUCCGGAUUUAUUGGGUUUAAAGGGAUCGUAGGCCGUUUGGUAAGCGUGUUGUGAAAUGUAGGAGCUCAACUUCUAGAUUGCAGCGCGAACUGUCAGACUUGAGUGCGCACAACGUAGGCGGAAUUCAUGGUGUAGCGGUGAAAUGCUUAGAUAUCAUGACGAACUCCGAUUGCGCAGGCAGCUUACUGUAGCAUAACUGACGCUGAUGCUCGAAAGUGCGGGUAUCAAACAGG